UUUAAAUAAAUCAUUCGAACGAUAUCAUUGUUUAUUAAUUUAUUUACGUACACUAUGCACGACACUUAACGUGCAUGAUUCAGUGCACAAUUCAUUUUCAGCAGCCGCAUUGAAAGAUAAUCUUUAAUCAUUAGAAAGACCUCACAGUUAACACCGGGGGAAACCUGCGAAUGGGAUACUGGAACCUCCAGCUCAGCGCCUGCUGGGGACCUGGAGGAAUGUUGGAAGAAGAUAGCUGGAAAGGAAGUGUUGGGGAAGGAGAAGGGACCAUCUUAGGAUGAGCGGAGGGGAGAGGGCCAGGGAAUGUUGGCGAGCCCUUAUACGCCUCAAUCUGAAUUUGGCAACCAAGAGGUAUACACAUUCCACUAUGUGCCUAGGACCGCGGCACAAUAUCCUCCAUGCAGGGGCGUACAUUCGGUGUGGAGACCGAGUGCCCAAGAAUUACGUCAGUGGGCACUUGAAGUCAAUUAGGUACCUCUCCCUAUAGAUACUAUUACUUUAAAAAUAAUAAUCAUAUCAACCCUGUAUUAUUUACUGUCCUCCUGCUGCGCACGAGCCUCUUCAACUACUGAAAGCAAUUAGGCCUUAGUCCACGCUGGGCUAGCGCGAAUUCACAUAUCCUCAAAAUUCCUAUAGAGAACUUCUCAGGUCAACAGGUUUCCCCGCGAUGUUUUCUUUCACAAAGAAGAACAAGAUAAUUAACAAAGAAUACACAUAUCACUUUAGAAAAUUCAUUGUCCCAGCAGUUCAUUCCACAUUCAAUUAGGCUAUCGCCGCUUCAUUCCUCUACCACUUUACUUCAUCGUUUUUUAUACAGUAUUGUAAAGUUGACUUUACCUUUACUUCUGCUGUGUAAAUCUUUGAAUUUAUUUAUCAAUACGUUGGUCAUAAAUUUUUAUUGUGGUAUUCGUAUAACAGGAUUCAUUACAUAUCGUUAUCAAUACAAAACGUAUUAAGAAUGCGUCAUUUAAUUAGCAUCGACAGUCUGUCAUUGCUUGUAUAUGUCGAAUUAUAAUAUUAUGUAUAUACAAUAUUAGCUGAAGCUAUAUUGCUUUAACUUUACGUGCAUGAUAGGUGCAGAUAAAAGGUUUAUUUCGGCUACAAAUUACACGCAGUAUAUCUUUGAAUAUAUAUAGACAACAAACAAGUACACAUCCAUUUGUGAAAUGCUGUAGCCGCAAUUAGGCUCCAACCCAGCAAUAUUCAUUGCUCCAAGAAGUAAAGUGCUGGAAAUUCAGUUGGUACCUAGUAUACAGGCCUUAAUAAAUAUUUAUCUACCCCAAGUGUCAUGCUUAAACAUGAAAUAUAAAGAAAACAAGAGUAUAUAAAGUGCAUUUUCAUCUAAGACUAAAAUGCAAACAAAACAAACGCAUACAAUAAAAUCAGCCCUGUGUUAUAUACUGUACCACUGCUGGGCACGGGCCUCUUCAUACUUUGCCGGGUUCGGAAAAUUUCACCUAUCGCCACUGGUUUAUACCUAUUAUUUAAAUAGGUUGAAUCAUAAUUUUAAAUGACAUUUUCUAACACUUGAUAAUAUAGAGUUGAUGAGAAAUUUAUGUUUCACUUUAUUCAAUCAUUUGACUUUCAAAUACAUUCUGAAUAUAAUCAACAAACACCGACACAAACUUUGCGAUGCCGUGAUCGUACUUUAACUAAAAUCAAUGUAAAAUCUAUAGUUAGGUCUAAUAAAAUCUAUUUUUGAAACAGA